GUUGGGCGUGGUGGCAGACACCUAUAGCCCUAGCUAUACAGGAGGCUGAGCAGGAGGAUCACUUAAGUCCAAGAGUCCUGGGCUGCAGUGUGGUAUGCUGAUCAGGUGUCCACACUAAGAUUAGCACCAAUAUGGUGAUCUUCGGGAGCAGGAGAUGACCAGGUUCUUUAAGAAGUGGUGAACCACCUAGGUCAGAAAUCAAACAGGUCAAAACUCUGGUGCUGAUCAGUAGUGGGACCUUGGCUGGAAAGUCACUGCAUUCUUCACUGUAAACUGGACAUCCUAGUUAGACCCUGUCUCU
rnacentral:SRP_RNA from 1 species